AUCAAAAGAGACAAAGAAGGCCAUUACAUAAUGGUCAAGGGAUCAAUUCAACAAGAAGAGCUAACUAUCCUAAAUAUAUAUGCACCCAAUACAGGAGCACCCAGAUUCAUAAAGCAAGUCCUGAGUGACCUACAAAGAGACUUAGACUCGCUCUCCCUCUCCCUCUCCCUCUCCCUCUCCCUCUCCCUCUCCUCUCUCUCCACGGUCUCCUUCCACGGUCUCCCUCUGAUGCCGAGCCAAAGCUGGACGGUACUGCUGCCAUCUCGGCUCACUGCAACCUCCCUGCCUGAUUCUCCUGCCUCAGCCUGCCCAGUGCCUGCCAUUGCAGGCGCACGCCGCCACGCCUGACUGGUUUUCGUUUUUUUUUUGGUGGAGACGGGGUUUUGCUGUGUUGGCCGGGCUGGUCUCCAGCUCCUAACCGCGAGUGAUCCGCCAGCCUCGGCCUCCCGAGGUGCUGGGAUUGCAGACGGAGUCUCGUUCACUCAGUGCUCAAUGGUGCCCAGGCUGGAGUGCAGUGGCGUGAUCUCGGCUCGCUACAACCUCCACCUCCCAGCCGCCUGCCUUGGCCCCCCAAAGUGCCGAGAUUGCAGCCUCUGCCCAGCCGCCACCCCGUCUGGGAAGUGAGGAGCGUCUCUGCCUGGCCCCCCAUCGUCUGGGAUAUGAGGAGCCUCUGCCUGGCUGCCCAGUCUGGAAAGUGAGGAGCGUCUCCGCCCGGCCGCCAUCCCAUCUAGGAAGCGAGGAGCGCCUCUUCCCCGCUGCCAUCCCAUCUAGGAAGUGAGAAGCGUCUCUGCCCGGCCGCCCAUCGUCUGAGAUGUGGGGAGCACCUCUGCCCCGCCGCCCUGUCUGGGAUGUGAGGAGCGCCUCUGCUGGCCACAACCCUGUCUGGGAGGUGAGGAGCGUCUCUGCCCGGCCGCCCCGUCUGAGAAGUGAGGAAACCCUCUGCCUGGCAACCGCCCCGUCUGGGAAGUGAGGAGCGUCUCCGCCCGGCAGCCACCCCGUCCGGGAGGGAGGUGGGGGGGGGGUCAGCCCCCCGCCCGGCCAGCCGCCCAGUCCGGGAGGUGAGGGGCGCCUCUGCCCGGCCGCCCCUACUGGGAAGUGAGGAGCCCCUCUGCCCGGCCAGCCGCCCCGUCCGGGAGGG
rnacentral:lncRNA from 1 species